GGACUACCCGGGUAUCUAAUCCUGUUUGCUCCCCACGCUUUCGCACCUCAGCGUCAGUAUCGAGCCAGUGGGCCGCCUUCGCCACCGGUGUUCUUCCUAAUAUCUACGAAUUUCACCUCUACACUAGGAAUUCCACCCACCUCUCUCGAACUCAAGACUUGCUGUAUCAAAGGCAGUUCCGAGGUUGAGCCCCGGGAUUUCACCCCUGACUGACAAAUCCGCCUACGUGCGCUUUACGCCCAGUGAUUCCGAACAACGCUAGCUCCCUUCGUAUUACCGCGGCUGCUGGCAC
rnacentral:rRNA from 1 species